UUGAGAUGAGCGGAUGAUGCCCUGCCCUUGCAACCUCGAGCCCCUCACCUGGGUGGGGGUUACGCCCCUUUGCCUCCACGCUCGCGUGCUGACUUUCUAAUUCUGCAAAUUUUCGUUUUGUAAACCCGGUUUGAGGCUGCAGGGACGAAGGCCACAGUGACUCGGGUGGUGGUCACCACCAGCCAGCCAGCCAGCCAGCCAGCCAGCCCAGCGACGUGGCGACUUGCAGACUGAAGGCGACCAAGUCGGGUGCCAUCCCGAGCCCCCUUCCCGCCCCUGCCCGCCCUCGCGCGUCGGCUCCGAGCCUGGCUGCGCCCUGGCGUCUGGGUCGGAGGGGCGGGGUGGGGUCGCCUUCUGCCGCGCUUUGAGCCGCGGGUGCAGGCGUCCUGGUUCCUGCUGACCUCCGGGCGCUAAUUGCAGGGGUCGAAGGGCGCUCUGGGGCGGAGGCAGAGGUCACGACCCGCAACUCCCCUCUCCGGGCUUGCCGCAAUCCCGAAGGAGCGAGGAGUGUGUGCAGGCUGGGAUGUGUGUGUGUGUGUGUGUGUGUGUGUGUAUUACGCGUGCGCGCCUGUGUAAAAGAUCUCUCUCUGGACCUGCACUGUCCUGUGUCCUGGGACCCAGCCUUUGCGUGCAUGCAUGUGUGCCUAUGUAUGUGUGUGUGUAUUUGUAGGGAAGUUCCCUAAGAAUAGGGCCUUAAAAAAAAGUCCAUCCAAAAACACAAACUCGGGUUCUGACCACUCUCUGAACCUGUGGAUGGCACAGCUUGGGCACUGCCAGAGCACUUUCUGCAUCCUCCCUGGUUUCUAAAUUUGACCUCUCGACUGUCAGCUAGGACAGGGGUUGUUGGGGUGUAGUUCCGAUGGCCGUGGGACCUUUGCUCUUACAAAGGGAGCUAUAGAAGUUCAUGGUGUUAGAUGGUAGCUCUUAGGGCAUUUAGAGUGAGGCUAGGAACUACAGGUGUUGAGGAAGAUGUGUGUGUGUGUGUGUGUGUGUGUGUGUGUAUGAGAGAGAGAGAGAGAGAGAGAGUGUGGGUGUGCACGUGUACUCCGGCACGCUGCAUCUGUACACGUCUCUUCCAAUUUGGAUUUAGGAGUUCAAGCGCGAGACAGUUCCGGAUGCAGAUGCAUUGAGUUGUUUUAUAAUCAAGAUGCGUAUAAUCAAGAAGUAUAUGUUGCAGAUGUGAGCAUUCAGAGAACCCACAACCACGUCAUAAGACCAGCUGGCACUGGAGGGCAUGAAUUCACAGGAGUAUUUCAGUGUCUUUGGAAAUCUACUGUGCAGUGGGAAAGAGCGCUUUCCUUCCCAUUCCCGUCUUCUGGGUCCUGAAACGCAGAUGGCCAGGGGUUAGGGCCCUUUUGCCAGUUCUCUGGCUCCAGUCGGAAGCUGGGGACUUGUCCACUGGAGACCGGGAUUCCACCAAGAAGCCGGAGACUCCCGGCUGGAUGUGUGCAGUCUGCAACCUGGACAAUCUGAGCCCCGAUCACUCACCCAGAAGCAAGGCCCAGGUCUGGCUGCAGACUGAGCAAGGAUGAAGUUGG